GCAGCAUGUGAGAAUAGCAUUGCAGGCCACAGAUGUGAACUGAUAAAAAACAGGUGCUCUUGCUUCGUCAAUACGCAGCUUUCUUGGGAAAACGCAGAUACUUUCUGCCGAAACAACAACAAGCGCUUACUGAGCAUCGAGACGGAAGAUGAACAAGCGGAUAUUUCAUCUGUUUUGAUGCCUAUCGUAUUGAACGAUGACAUCGCAAAGAAGAUCGGAGUAUGGACAUGCGGCUCUUACAUUCCCGAACAGAAGGUUUUCGCCUGGUCCUCAACUCAGAAGCCGUUCACUUUCAUCAAUUGGUUUUACAACGAGCCUAUCAUUAAUAGCUUAGAACAAUGUCUUCGCGUUCGAAUUGUGCCGGAAUCAUUGACUAGCGGCCGCUGGGCUUCCCUGUAUUGCGAUCAGCUUCCCUUUAUUUGUCAGGACGAUCCCGGUACCAUUAAACCAUAGGCGCUGCCUUUAGCUAAGAACAUAUUGCAAACGGC